CUGCUAAAUAGACCAGCUGACUUUAGUGGUGGGCUGCUGUCUUCUUAGAGGGACGAUCGACGUUUAGUCGAUGGAAGUUUGAGGCAAUAACAGGUCUGUGAUGCCCUUAGAUGUUCUGGGCCGCACGCGCGCUACACUGACCGAGGCAGCGAGUUUACAUUCAUCCUUGGCCGGAAGGCCUG
rnacentral:rRNA from 1 species